rnacentral:misc_RNA from 1 species
UUGACAAUGUCAAAUUGCCAAAUCUAUUUACUAUAAUCCAGCAAUCAUAAUUGCUAAACUAAAUUGCAGAAUAUUGAUCAACUUUUUUGAAUUACAAUCAAACUUCAACUAGAAUCAAUUUGAAGUGCAUGAUCCAAUGACUUAGGCAUCUAGUUGACACCAACCACAAAAUUUGAAAAACAUGAAAAUUACUAAAAGUACAGUAACACAAUGAUUCGAGGAAAAAACAGGCAAGUUCCAAAGG